UGGGGAAUAUUGCACAAUGGGCGCAAGCCUGAUGCAGCCAUGCCGCGUGUGUGAAGAAGGCCUUCGGGUUGUAAAGCACUUUCAGCGGGGAGGAAGGCGAUAAGGUUAAUAACCUCAUCGAUUGACGUUACCCGCAGAAGAAGCACCGGCUAACUCCGUGCCAGCAGCCGCGGUAAUACGGAGGGUGCAAGCGUUAAUCGGAAUUACUGGGCGUAAAGCGCACGCAGGCGGUCUGUCAAGUCGGAUGUGAAAUCCCCGGGCUCAACCUGGGAACUGCAUUCGAAACUGGCAGGCUAGAGUCUUGUAGAGGGGAGUAGAAUUCCAGGUGUAGCGGUGAAAUGCGUAGAGAUCAGGAAGAAUACCGGUGGCGAAGGCGGCCCCCUGGGCAAAGACUGACGCUCAGGUGCGAAAGCGUGGGGAGCAAACAGG
rnacentral:rRNA from 1 species